CAUCCGAGGAGCGUUGCAGCGUCCCCACUUGCGGGGCGUGAGGCUCGGACCAUCCAUGCAACGACGCUCAUCCACA
rnacentral:ncRNA from 2 species